GUCCUAGCCGUAAACGGUGCACGUUUGCUGUAAAAGGAAUCGACCCCUUUUGUGGCGUAGCUAACGCGUUAAACGUGCCGCCUGGGAAGUACGGUCGCAAGAUUAAAACUCAAAGAAAUUGACGGGGGCCUGCACAAGCGGUGGAGUAUGUGGCUCAAUUCGAUGCAACGCGAAGAACCUUACCUGGCCUUGACAUGUACGUAGUAGAAGGGUGAAAGCCUGACGAGAUAGCAAUAUCAGCGUACACAGGUGCUGCAUGGCUGUCGU
rnacentral:rRNA from 1 species